UCUCUUUCGAACUCUCUCCAAGACCCACAACAACAAGAAGGAUCAGAGCAGAACAAGGAACCAGAUGUGGAACAAUGAGCAAAGAAUCCCUGUCACAGAGAAAUACAAGCAAAAGAAAUGGUCAGACGAGCCCCAGGGUGAGGAAAGAUAGAAGAAUCGGCCCCAAGACGAGGUGAGGAAGACGACGAGGAACAGCUUAAAACAGUGAAGAAGACGACAGAACCAGGAAGAGGGAAAACGAAAAUGAAGAAGAGCUCUGGAUAAGAAUAAGACAGCUUCGGACAAGAGCAGAUACCAAACUGAUGCUGGACUGAUGCUGGACUGAUGCUGGACUGAGACUGGACUGAGACUGGACUCAAAGGAGAAAAAAAAAGGAGAAAAAGCCUCAAAUAAAAGGAUCGGCUGGGCCUCGCAGCGAUGGACAAAGCUGGAAAGCUGGUUUUUCUGGCCACCGAGGGCGACCACCUGCAGUUUACCAGAGAGUGGUUCAAUGCCAACCUGCUGCCUUACUUACGCUAGAGCACGUCUGCAUGCCCAUGGAUUAUUUCAACAUUGUACAUUUUCAUAGCUGCACUUGAUUUAAGAGCAAUAUAAUGGAGGUUAUGGGUAAACUGGAAAACGUGUGCAGACAGCACAUGAUUCCUUCCUUUUGCCCUGAUCACUUCAUGACAGUCGAUUCUUGUUUUGUGAUGCCAUAUUAAUAUGAUCAGGUUGUUAGUAUGUUAGCUUACUCCUGUACUACCACUACUGGGCUGUUAAUGUCAUUUUAAAUGUGAGCUGCUCUGAUGAGGUCAACUGUUGGCAGAAAUAUUGUUUUGUUUUUUUUGUUUUGUUUUUUUUUUUGUAAAGGUUUUAGAAUAAGAAAAGGCCUAAAAUAAAUCAUUUUACUGUAAAAUGAUGCUUCUGUACAUAUUAUGCAUUUCAUCCAAUAAAGAUGCCAAGAAAAAGAUCUCUUGACUAAUGAGCAGAUUUCUGUUUUCAAAAAAGUUUUUAUUUCAAAGACAAAUGUACCAAUGCAAAAAUGUUAACAUGAAAAUUGGACAGAAAGAGCUAAGAUGUAAAAAAAAUGUCCAUUUUGUCUAAAUGUGUGGUCUUUAACUGCAGCCAGCUAACUAGUGACGGAAUAUUACAGCGUACAGGUGAACUAGUGAAGGCCGAACGUCCACCAGUUGAGUUUGUUUGGGUCUUCCUGGCCUUACUGGUGAGGGGGAAAAAAAAGGUACUAAUUAAGUAACGCGUGCCAAAACGUCCAUUACUUACAUUAGUGGGGAUGUUUGGACCUUAUUAGGUUAAUUAGCAAACCUCAGUGUGUUCCCUAGUAGAAGCCAAAGUGUUUAUUUUAUCAUUUUUGAAGUGGUCUGCCGGAGUGGCACAGCUUGCAGAAUGUUACAGAGUUCAAAGACGGGCAGGGGCGGAGCCAAUGGAUGAGCAUUCCAUGGGUGUGUGUG
ensembl:lncRNA